rnacentral:rRNA from 1 species
GACGUAGGGCGCGAGCGUUGUCCGGAUUUAUUGGGCGUAAAGAGCUCGUAGGCGGCUUGUCGCGUCGACUGUGAAAACCCGUGGCUCAACCAUGUGGUCUGCAGUCGAUACGGGCAGGCUAGAAUUCGGUAGGGGAGACUGGAAUUCCUGGUGUAGCGGUGAAAUGCGCAGAUAUCAGGAGGAACACCGGUGGCGAAGGCGGCUUGCUGGGCCAGUUCUGACGCUGAGGAGCGAAAGCGUGGGGAGCGAACAGG